UAGGGACUAGCUCAAUGGUAGAGCAUCACACUGAUAAGGUGAGGUUAGUGGUUCGAAUCCACUGUUCCUAA
rnacentral:tRNA from 1 species